GACGAACGCUGGCGGCGUGCCUAACACAUGCAAGUCGAACGGGGUGAUUUCCUUCGGGAGAUCACUUAGUGGCGAACGGGUGAGUAACGCGUGAGAAACCUGCCUUUCAGUGGGGGACAACAGUUGGAAACGACUGCUAAUACCGCAUAAUGUUAUUUAGGGGCAUCCCUGAAUAACCAAAGCUUUAUGUGCUGAAAGAUGGUCUCGCGUCUGAUUAGCUAGAUGGCGGGGUAACGGCCCACCAUGGCGACGAUCAGUAGCCGGUCUGAGAGGAUGAACGGCCACAUUGGGACUGAGAUACGGCCCAGACUCCUACGGGAGGCAGCAGUGGGGAAUAUUGGGCAAUGGGGGAAACCCUGACCCAGCAACGCCGCGUGAAGGAAGAAGGCCUUCGGUUGGUAAACGUUACUUUAGUCAGGACGGAAUAACGUAGACGGUACCGUGAC
rnacentral:rRNA from 1 species